UGGAAGGUUUUGGGGUGUGGCUUCAGGUGAGUCUUCAGGAGGCUUCGUUAGGAUUGGGCAUGUUUGGGACGGAAGUGGUUCGGGACUGAUGGACAUAAGAAGGGUUUGGAGUGAGUCUGGAGACUGAGCCCAGCUGUGCUGUCCGCUCACAGGUCCUAGGCAACGACUGUCAGGAAGUUCCCAAAAUAAGUCACUCACAACCUCAUCGUCCUGGUUUGGACCUUUUGUCAAUAAAGCCACUAUGAGGAUCUGUGUGCCAAUCUUCUUGUGGAGAACUUUUUAUUGAGGAGUGGAACUGCCAGUUCCCAUGCUGGCAAGGCGAACCCAUGGGGCGGUUACAGUGUCUGCAACGCAGACACAAGCGACAGAGACUUGAUCAGAAUAUACAAGGAACUCUGCAAGUCAGCGAUGGUAAGAAGCAGGGCAGCUGGGCCUCCUACGCCUGCCUCGCCGUUCGGUCCCCCGGACACCUCUGGGCUUAGGACUCAGGGGAACAGAUUCCCAGAAGCAGGUUCCCCGCCGCG